rnacentral:rRNA from 1 species
UUCAACGUGAGAGUUUGAUCCUGGCUCAGAGCGAACGCUGGCGGCAGGCUUAACACAUGCAAGUCGAGCGGACCUUUCGGGGUCAGCGGCGGACGGGUGAGUAACGCGUGGGAACGUGCCUUCCG